AAACACACUCCACUGGAUCAUGAGACUAAAACACAUUUCCAGGCUCAGUUUUCAUCUUCACGUCUGUUUCGCUCCAGGAGGGUUUUUCCAGAGAGUCACUUUGCAUCGACACAUGCUUCAGCGCUCCGAGUGUUUAUAGCGUUCAGACUCAAACACUUUAUAACACACCGCUGUUUACCACGGUACAAAAUGAAUCUCUUCAGCAGCUUCAUCUGGAUUCUGACAGCUUUUAUUCCAGCAUCCAGAGGAAUCACUGUGACUCAGCCUGAAGUUCUGCCUGUUUCUGAAGGACAAGACGCCACUAUAACGUGUAAAACUGAACCU